CUCAUAUAAUAAAGACAUUGGUCUAUCAUUAACAUGUGUUUACCACCAGAUGUGUUUCUGGUUUUGUUGUUUUGUCUUGUACCUAUAUAUCUUUAAUGUUCAACACACAUAUUCCUUCAAAGCAAGUCUUAUUAAUGAUACUACACAUAAUACACAACAGAUUGUGUACGUCACAAGUUUGAAUGAUCUUAAAUGUGUACGUGUUUAGUCAUGAAGUUGGUCUGUUGCAAUUAGGAAAUGGUCUGUUAAAAUGAUUAUACGCUAAGUCUACAUUUGUAUUUGUAUAUGAUGAAAGCAAAUUUCUUGUUCUCAAACAAAUCUUGUCGAGAAAAAAUUUGCAGAUGACUCAUUUUAUUUCCCCAAAAAGGUUUCAAUUUUGAAAAGUUUGGAAAUAAGAUUUAGACAAUAUAUUUUUUACUAAAACAGUUUACAGUUCCAAAUAGGGUCCAAAAUAAUGAAGCUGUAAUUUUAAGUAUUAAACAUUUAUCUCUACAAUGAUCUGUUUCACAGUAUAAGUAUAUUAUUGUUGAUUAUAUUACAAUAAAUUAAUAAUAAGUCACCUUACAAUGUUUUUUUUUUUGUGAGUGCAGGUCAACUGACAAUGGACUAUGUUUGAUUAGGCCAAAUUUGGAAAAUAAUUGUCCAAAACUGUCUCAUUUUGGAGUCAUUUUAUCAAUGUAUCAAGAUAACCAACACUCUUUAAUAGCUCAAGUGAUACUUUGCCACAAGAUAUCUUAUACAUUUUUUUUGAAAUGCAAGUAAAAAGAUUGUUUAAGUUAGAUUGUUUCUCCUAAUUGAUAGGGCCAACAAAUUCUUCUUUUAGUCAAAUAAAAUUUAAGACGAUAUUUCUGCACCAAAGUGUCAAGCCUUUAUUAUUCAAUUGAUUUUAUCAUUCAAAUAACUUCUAAGGACUAAAGAAUUUUUCAGAGAUAAUUAAACCCUAUUCUUUUAAUUUUAUUUCCAUUUUCCUGUCCUUAUUACAUUGAAUUUAAGCAAUGUCCAAUUAAAUUAAAAUUGAUUCAUUAAUUUUGUAUUUUUAUGUGAUCCUUGUUACUAUCGUGAAUGCAUUCUAAUAUUGAACAACAUGAUUUAUAGUUGGAAGUGCAUUGGUAGACAUGAAUAACAGAAUAGCAGUCUAAUAAAAGCUACCCUAUUGCAAGAGAGAGUGGGCAAUGUUAUCAUCCUUUAAUUGAUGUAAUUAAAUAUGCAUAUACAUUAAUUGACCUCACAUCCUCAUACAGCAAACAUGGUAUUGAUUUGAUAAGUUAUACUAUUGUUCAAAUAAUUUUUCCUUGUCUGAAAAGCAUUACACCCAAGCAUUUUUAAUUGUUGGUAAAUUUGUUAAAUUUAUUUAAUGACCUUUUGAAAGCAUUAUUAUUUUCUUUGCUUGCUUAGUAUAAGCAAGUUAUUUAAUAUUUAUUGGCUUAUUGAGAGGAUAUCUUUAAUAUUGAUGAAGGAGCGCAGAAAAUAUUUUUUUUUUAAAUUUGGCGGAAUUCUCUAGAUUUUUAACAUUUGCACCUUUAUUCUUUCAAAAACUAUGAAAAAAAUAAGGAUUUUUUAAGAUUUUCAAAAAUGGCUUUUAAACUAUAUGUAAUACAAUUAUGAAAAGAAAAGUAGGGAUUAGUUGUAAAAAUUUUAUUGGCAGUACACUGCAUAGAUAUAACUAGCUACAGCUAGAGGAUUCCAAAUAUCUGACAAAAAGUUAAAACAAAGAGUAGCGAAUAUCCUUAUUGAAAAAUAUUACCUAGUAUUCAAUUAUAUGCAAUGCCAUCAUAAGCUUUUACCAUUAAAAUGCAGGUUAUUAAAAACUUACUUUCCAAUGCCUUUACUAAAGUAGAAUGUAGUAGUUAAAUACUUUUAUUGUGCAUUUCUGUGUGAUUUGAAAACUUAAUAGAAAAACAACAUUCUUUCAUUAUUGUAUGUGCCUGUCCGAAGUCAGGAGCCUUUAAUUCAGUGGUUGUCGUUUGUUUAUGUCUUACAUAUUUGUUUUUGUUCAUUUUUUGUACAUAAGUUAGGCCGUUAGUUUUCUCGUUUGAAUUGUUUUACAUUGUCAUUUAGGGGCCUUUUAUAGCUGACUGUGCGGUAUGGGCUUUGCUCAUUGUUGAAGGCCGUACGGUGACCUAUAGUUGUUAAUUUCUGUGUCAUUUGGUCUCUUGUGGAGAGUUGUCUCAUUGGCAAUCAUACCACAUCUUCUUUUUUAUAUUUACAAGUUUUUUAUUGAUUUUUUGAAAAUUCUUCUGGAAAUCCCUGUUCACAAACCAUGAUGGUUGAUGUGGCAAUUUUUAAACAAAUCUGUAAAAGAAUUUUUAUGCCCCCUACCCUUCCCAACCUUCGUCCUUACAAGAAAUUCAGGAUGACUACCACUACUGAACAAAUACACUUUGGACAUAAUGGGGGAAACAUUGCAAAAUCUCCUCGUUACCAUCCCUCAAUUAAGGUCAAGCUUAAUCAAAUAGUUCUUGAGGUAUAUAAUUAUUGUUUAUGUCUGUUGAAAAGCAACCAAAAAACCAUGUUUUUAAUAGUUUACAGUAAUGUUAUAUUUGUUGUAACUCUUAAAGCUUAUUGGAACAAAUCAAUAUUGAAAUGUUUGUAAUCUUUAAAGUUCAUUCCACUUGAACCUUUAUUGUGUAAUUGCGUCAAGGUAGACUAUUCAGGCUUCUGACAGCUGUUGUUAAGAAAUUAAGAUAAACAUAGAAUUUUAAAAAAAAAUAAGAUGAAAAACAUUUAAGUUACACAUUGACCUUUUCUGUUUUUCUUAUGAAUUAGAAUUUUGGCUUCCAAAAGAUUUUCAAACAUAAAAUUUGAAAAAAAGUAUAGGCGAGAGUUAUGAAAGGGGACUAAAAUUACUAGGCAAACAACUCUAUGACUGGAAAUGAUCCAUAAGCUAUUCCUCUGUAGUACAACCGACUUCAUCCAAUGAAAUUGCUUGAAAACAAAACCAUAUAUAUAUAUUUUUGAUACAGCUUUAUCAAUGAUUCUUUACCUCAUUGCCUAACAAUGAAAUAUAUAUUAUGUAUUAAGACAUUGGUAACUUAAAGAUUUUAUUUCCAUCCAGAAGCCACAAUGUUAUUUUGAACACUCAAUUUGGUUUCCAAGAUGUCACAACUCAUGAUAUGAGAAUGAUAUUAUCCUUAGUUUACACACCUGAUUCAGAAAAACUAAUCUAAAUAACUAUAAACAUGUCUUAUAGAUAUCAUAGUUAUUAUCCAGUGUACACAAGACAUGGCUUUUGUGAUCUGGUGUUCUUAUGAAAUUAUUAUUUAUUUGUAAAUUUAAAAUGAUUUAUUUUUUUAGACUUAAAGUCUCUGUUGUAAAUUCUUGCAAAUAGCAUUUAUUCAUGUUUUUAUCCAAAUAUUAAUAUUGGUUAUUUUGUUAGAUGUAAUACAUUUAUUUAUGCAGUCGUUACAAAUAAAUGCUUUAUAAAUAUAUUUAAAAAAAUUAUAGUUUA